AAUGGUGUAGCUCAGUGGUAGAGUACAUGCUUAGCAUGCAUAAGGUCAUGGGUUCUAUCCCCAGUACCUCUA
rnacentral:tRNA from 1 species